rnacentral:lncRNA from 1 species
AAGCAAUUUGCUCAUAGCCAUAGCUUUCUUGUGAAAGUAGGAUAUUAACCCAGGUGUCUUGGUGCUGGAGAACAGAACUGGCCAGAGUCCAUCCUGUCUCCCACCGGCAUCCCAUUACGAAAUGAACACAGAAAAGGCAGGUCUGCAAUGCCAACAUCUAGUAUCUAUCCCAAAGACCAGGGAGAAAGGAAGGAAAGAUUCUGGUUCUGUCCUCUUCCCCAAGGCAAGGCUGGCUGCCCUACCAACAGAGGCAAAGAGAAGAGUGUGCAAGGCUGGCUGCCCUCCCAACAGAGGCAAAGAGGAGUGUGUGUUGAAAUAUCCAUUGAAUCCCUGAGACAACUGGAUCCUGGCCCAUUGAAUCAUAAACUCAAAUCUCACAUCAUAACCCCAAAUGACCUGUUACUCACCAUGUGGCCCAGCUGUCUUCAAACUCACCAGCCUCCUGCCUUAGCCUUCUAAAUGCUUGGAUUACAGGCAUGACCCACCAUAACUGGCUUUGUUUUAGUUUCAGAGAAGAUGAAACUGAUGUGCGUCAAAAAGUUAUGGAGGCUGGGAAGACCUAGAAUGUGGCAUCACUAUUUGGUAAGAACCUUCCUAUGUCAUUGUAGAGUGAGGGACUUGGGUACCACAUGGCAAGGCAUAGUACCCAAAUCCCUUUCCUUCAUAAAAGUAUUAAUGUCAUCAAAGAGGCCCCACCACCAUGAUGCCAUCUGGGGCCUCAUGACCCCAAUGCCUGAUGCCAAAGACUCCCACCUCAAAAUACUUUUUUCUUCAGCAUAACAUUUUAUUAAUUAUCUGGGAAUUUCACAUCAUGUACUCCAAUCACACUCAGUUCCCAGUCCUUCCAUGUCAGCCCCCACCCUUGUUACUUGCCCCCCAAAAGAGGAAAAUUAAAACUAAGAAUUAAAAAAAAUUAAAAAAAUUAAAAUACACAAGUCCAAUUUAUGUUACCUAUAUACUCACUGAAGCAUGGUCAGAUUCUCAGUGGCCUGGCCCUUAAAUAGAAGUGAGUCUUCCCCCUCCUGCAUCUGAAGCCAUUAAUUGCGUAGAGCUACACUUCAACAUCUACAUCACACUUUCAAAGAGUUCUCUUCAGUGGAUUCCUGUUCUAGACCAUUACUUUGGAGACAGGGGUAGGGGAUUGUCACAAAAAGCCUUCCAUGUCCCUUCGUCUCAGUUGUACACCUGCAGUCAUCAAUAUCCCAGUGUAACUAGUCCCCUUGUUCUUCAUAGUUAGUGGAAACAUGGAUCAUGGGCCUCUCAAGGUUUCUGAUAACAUCCCAGACCAUGAACAUGGCCCUCAGGUGCAGGAGGACCACAGAUCCAGACAAAGACCAGAUCACAGCCAUAAAAAUAGCCUCAGGUGGCAGCAAAGGCCACUCAGAUUAGUAUGGCCUUUGGUGGCAGCACUAUCCAUAAACAUCAACGUAGCUUCAGGCAGCAGCACAGACUGUGAACAUCUCAUGGUCUUCAGUGGUAACACAAGCCAUGGAUAUCUACCUACAGCAGAACCAUAUAUAGAUUUGAUAAGUUUCCACACAUGAACCCAGGACACAUUUAAAUCAUGGCAGUCUACAUCCUGAUCCUUCCCUUGUC